rnacentral:lncRNA from 1 species
AAAUCCCCUCCUCCUCCUUCGCCGGUCUACUAUUACAAAUCCCCGCCUCCACCACCAUACUAUUACAAGUCCCCACCUCCACCUCCGCCUAAGUAUUACUACAAGUCGCCCCCACCACCGUCUCCAUACUAUUACAAAUCCCCGCCCCCUCCACCGUACUAUUACAAAUCCCCACCACCACCUCCCUACAAAUACGAAUCGCCGCCGCCUCCUCCUUACAAAUACGAGUCCCCACCUCCACCACCUUACUAUUACAAGUCCCCACCACCACCUCCAUACAAAUAUGAAUCCCCGCCACCUCCAGUCUACAAAUAUGAGUCUCCGCCACCCCCAGUUUACAAAUACAAGUCGCCACCACCACCAUACAAGUACGAGUCACCACCACCACCUCCAUACAAGUAUGAAUCCCCGCCACCUCCACCUUAUUACUACAAGUCCCCUCCACCACCACCAUACAAGUACGAGUCGCCACCACCUCCUCCGUACAAGUAUGAAUCUCCACCACCACCAGUUUACAAAUACAAGUCACCUCCGCCGCCACCUUAUUACUACAAAUCCCCACCGCCACCUCCAUACAAGUACGAGUCUCCACCUCCUCCUCCGUACAAGUAUGAAUCUCCACCACCACCACCUUAUUACUACAAAUCCCCCCCGCCACCUCCAUACAAGUACGAGUCACCGCCUCCUCCUCCGUACAAGUAUGAAUCUCCACCACCGCCAGUUUACAAAUACAAGUCACCCCCGCCACCACCUUAUUACUACAAAUCCCCGCCACCACCUCCAUACAAGUACGAGUCUCCACCUCCUCCUCCGUACAAGUAUGAAUCUCCACCACCACCUCCUUAUUACUACAAAUCCCCGCCGCCACCUCCCUACAAGUAUGAAUCCCCGCCACCACCUCCCUACAAAUACGAGUCACCUCCACCACCACCUUACUAUUACAAAUCUCCUCCACCGCCUCCAUACAAGUAUGAGUCGCCACCACCACCAGUCUACAAAUACGAGUCUCCGCCACCCCCAGUUUACAAAUACAAGUCGCCCCCUCCACCUUAUUACUACAAGUCUCCGCCACCCCCGCCAUACAAAUAUGAAUCCCCACCUCCACCUCCCUACAAGUAUGAAUCGCCUCCUCCUCCACCUUACUACUACAAGUCCCCUCCACCACCUCCCUACAAAUAUGAAUCCCCGCCACCACCUCCCUAUAAAUACGAGUCACCACCACCACCACCUUACUAUUACAAAUCUCCUCCACCGCCUCCAUACAAGUAUGAGUCGCCACCACCACCUCCCUACAAAUACGAGUCACCACCACCACCACCUUACAAGUAUGAAUCCCCACCUCCACCUCCGUACAAGUAUGAAUCACCUCCACCGCCUCCAUACAAGUAUGAAUCCCCUCCUCCACCUCCCUACAAAUACGAGUCACCACCCCCACCACCUUAUUACUACAAAUCGCCUCCGCCACCGGAGUAUCAAUCAC